GUAGGCGGUUUUGUAAGCGAAUAGUGAAAUCAUGUGGCUCAACCAUACUGACUAUUAUUCGAACUGCAGAACUUGAGAACGAGAGGGGUGAUUGGAAUUCCCGGUGUAGGAGUGAAAUCCGUAGAUAUCGGGAGGAACACCAAUGGCGUAGGCAGAUCACUGGCUCGUUUCUGACGCUAAGGCACGAAAGCGUGGGUAGCAAACGGGAUUAGAUACCCCGGUAGUCCACGCCGUAAACGAUGGAUGCUAGCUGUUUGGAGUAUCGACCCUCUGAGUAGCGAAGCUAACGCGUUAAGCAUCCCGCCUGGGGAGUACGAUCGCAAGAUUAAAACUCAAAGGAAUUGACGGGGACCCGCACAAGCGGUGGAGCGUGUUCUUUAAUUCGAUGUUAAACGAAGAACCUUACCCAGACUUGACAUCCUUGGAAGGUCUGCGAAAGCAGACUGUGCCUUUGGAACCAAGUGACAGGUGUUGCAUGGCCGUCGUCAGCUCGUGUCGUGAGAUGUAGGGUUAAGUCCCUUAACGAGCGCAACCCUUAUGUUUAGUUGAAUUUUUCUAAACAGACUGCCUCGGUAACGGGGAGGAAGGAGGGGAUGAAGUCAGGUCUGUAUUGCCCUUACGUCUGGGGCUAGAAACGCGCUACAAUGGCUAGUACAAAGGGCAGCCAACCCGCAAGGGGGAGCUAAUCCCGACAAAGCUAGUCUCAGUUCGGAUUGCAGGCUGAAACUCGCCUGCAUGAAGCUGGAAUCGCUAGUAACCGUAAGUCAGCAAAUUACGGUGAAUACGUUCCCGGGUCUUGUACACACCGCCCGUCAAGCCACGAAAGUCGCCAACACCCGAAAUCUGAUUUAAUUCGGCCUAAGGUGGGGGAGAUAAUUGGGGUU
rnacentral:rRNA from 1 species